GUUUGCAGCGGGGAGUGACUGAUGGGUGACAGGGCUGAAAUCAUCCUUAAGUUGGAGGAAGAGAGAGGGCACGCUGGCCCAUUGUGCAAAGGGAGGUGAACUCACAUGGGAGUUGGUGGAGGAGAAAGCUGGGAGGAACCGUCCUGCCUGCGGUCCAGAGGUGCAAGGAGAGAAGCCAGCCCAGCACAGUGGACUGACCCC
rnacentral:lncRNA from 1 species